rnacentral:rRNA from 1 species
UACGAAGGGGGCUAGCGUUGCUCGGAAUCACUGGGCGUAAAGCGCACGUAGGCGGAUCUUUAAGUCGGGGGUGAAAUCCUGGAGCUCAACUCCAGAACUGCCUUUGAUACUGGGGAUCUCGAGUCCGGGAGAGGUGAGUGGAACUGCGAGUGUAGAGGUGAAAUUCGUAGAUAUUCGCAAGAACACCAGUGGCGAAGGCGGCUCACUGGCCCGGUACUGACGCUGAGGUGCGAAAGCGUGGGGAGCAAACAGG